UACGAAGGGGGCUAGCGUUGCUCGGAAUCACUGGGCGUAAAGCGCACGUAGGCGGCUUUCUAAGUCAGGGGUGAAAUCCAGGGCUCAACCCUGGACCUGCAUUCGAUACGGGCAGACUAGAGUUCGGUAGGGGAGACUGGAAUUCCUGGUGUAGCGGUGAAAUGCGCAGAUAUCAGGAGGAACACCGGUGGCGAAGGCGGGUCUCUGGGCCGAAACUGACGCUGAGGAGCGAAAGCGUGGGGAGCAAACAGG
rnacentral:rRNA from 1 species